UCCCUGGGAACUCGGGGAAUUGUAGGUUUGUGAAGAGUGUCAGGGUCUCCUAACAAUGUUCAGCACCCUUAACAAACUACAGUUCUUGAAACAUAAAGAGUGUGGAUGAAGCCUUUCAUAUCUUCAUCCAGCCUUGUGCAAAUUAAGCUGGUAUAAAUACCUCACUCAGGCUGUGUUAUGGGGAACUUGGAGGGCUCAGAAGAGGCCGACAAGAUUUCCCAAGGGACGGCUUGAUUGCUAAUACCCACCUUACCUUGCACUGAGGUGGGAGGACCUGUGUUCUAAGAUGUGCUCUCCGUUUAAUGUGGGGCAUUAAUGCGGUCGUGCCUAGCAAGUAUCCCCCGCAAAUCUAAUGUGCACCCGCUAGAAUGUGCCCCAGCAUCCUCGGCAAUGUGAUGGGGUUCGGUGUCAGGCAUGCCAGGAUUGCUUGGCAAACUCAGACCUGUUCAGGCACCCUAGCCUUUGCACAAUGGUGGGAGAAUAUCCUUACUGGCCCCUUCCCCUCUGCCAUAUGCCCACCAGCUACAGGGAGGGACCGACUGAGAAAGAAUGAGCCGCCUCUUUCUAGAAUUUGACAUAAAUGGAAUUCAUUGGCAAGCUGGUUUGGUUGUUCCUUACCUUUAAAGGCCUGCUGGAGAGGAGGAACGGGGCGGUGGAGAAACUUAAAGACUUCAGGGGCAUAAAUGACUUAGGGGCAGGGCAGGGCAAGGAGCUGUGAAAAGCAAAUAACCCUAUGACCAUUGGAACUUCCAUCCAGGCUAUUUCUGGUGGUUGUUUUUAAAGCAUGCACUUAAGCAGUGCCAGGAGGUCUGGAAACCUUAACCAGAGAGUGUCCUUCCAGAUUCUGAGCUAAUAUGUGGAAUAUCCACAGCCUACACUACAGUUAAUAUUAGGUUGGGGUUUCCAUGUGGAGUCCUAAAGGUAGCAGGGUGCAGUGGAACUCUUAACGGCUAAUAUGUUUUGGAAAAUUGACUUUGUGCUCACACUUUGGUUCUCUUAGGACCAAAUCUGGAAUGUUUUUAAAUGGAAUCUGGUCCAAGGGCCAGAUUACUUUCUUCUUUUUUCAUUUUUUUUCCAUAUGCCUUCUGAAGAUUUCUCAAGGUAUCCCGACUCUUAGGUCACCCAGAAGUACUGGCAUAUCCAAAAACGGUUGCUUAACUUGCUUUAGAAUUAAACAACAAGGCUUUGGAAGCCAGAUCCAUAGCCAUGAAGAGGAAUUAGACUCAGGCAGUCAUAAUGAUCCCAGAGUCAUUCAUCUGACCUGGCUUUUUUCUUUUUGAAAGAUGGGAACAAAACAAGGUCUUUCUUUUUUAAAAGAUGUGUGCCAGAUAUGAAUUUGGCUUUUCAAAAAGUUUUUGAAAUUGAAGAGGCUCUGUCAUAAUUUUAUUACUUGGAGGAUACACAGGUGUUAAUAGCUAUGAAAUUUACACAUGCAUAUACUACCUCAAAGUUCACAGUAAGAUACGAAUUCUAGAAGAGAGAGAGAGAGUGUGUGUGUGUGUGUGUCUGUGUGUGUGUGUGAGAGAGAGAGAGAGGGGGGGGGGAGAGAGAAUUAUCCACACUCUGAGGCUGUUUCCCUACAUAAGCCUUGAAGAAGAUGGAAAAAAGAAUCCUAGGAUUGUUUGGCUACCACCAUUUCCCCUUAAAUUGGGACAGCUACCUCAAGGAAGAGUAGUAAAGAUAACUUAUGCAGUGGAAUGGUGGCUUCUCUUAAUUUUUGCCAUAGCUGCACCGCAAACUCUUACCCUUCGCUUUAGUUCUGGUGCAGCGGGAUCCAGUAAAACUGGCUUAGUGGCACUGUCUGGCCAAAAUACAGCAGGGGCCCAAAAGCUCACGAACAUGUCACCUGUGAAUUCUGCUCUCUCUCGAGAGAGAACUUUGUAAGUUCUGCAACAAGGAAACUCCUGUGGUGCAAGCCGAAACUCCAGUUUUCACGACCGACAUGUGUUAUUCUGAAAAUCGGCAACAUUAGCCAUAGCUGCUCAGAGAUUACCUUCCACUUAAUCCCGUGGCAGCUGGCAUUGCUUGGCAUGGAUUUGAGGGGCAGGGUAUAUAGAAACAUAGGAAGCUGCCUUACACCAAGUAAGGCCAAUGGUUCAUCUAGGUCAGAAUUAUCUACAACACUGACAGGUAGCAGUUCUUCAGGGUUGCAGGCAGGAGUCUUACCUGGAGAUGCCAGAGAUUAUACCUGGGGCUUCCUGUAUGCAAGACGCAGGCUACAUCCAUCCUGGGACAGGGGCUUCGAGUUUUAAGGACCUGUGCCUUUGUUCUGUCCUUUCCUUGAGUCUCAAACUUGGGUCUUGAGCUGGUUUUGGACUACAACUCCCAUCAUCCCUAGCUAGCAGAUCCAGUGGUCAGGGAUGAUGGGAAUUGUAGUAAAAAACAAACAAACCUGGCGACCCAAGCUUGGAAAACACUGCUCUCUAGACCAUAACAGACCUCUCUUAUUUCACAGUUGAAUUGAUUCACAUGCCAGAAGCACAUGCAGGCAUGAUCUCUGUUGCUUUUCAUUGAAAGGCCCUCAAGUCUGCUCAGUCUGUUACAUAGUUCAGUUACAACAUCAGUGGGAAUAAGCCGGUCGCUAGCAGCUGAUGUUUCCAAGCCAUGUGCUAUGAUAAUGUUAAUAAACAGAGACACCCCACCCCAGCCUCCUGUUUGAAUCAGAGAGUUUUUCUAAUAGCUUCAAGAAGCAACAAGCUGGAUCCUGCUGCACCAAACCUGGAGAAGAGAGGGAGGAAGCCAUUACCCCUUUAUCUGUAGCUCCCCCCCAGAAGAACUCGGAAACAUGAAGACAUUACUGUACAGAUCUUGACUUAAGUUCCUUGGGAAAACAGGUUGAAAAUGCAUAGGGGGCAGUGUUGGUGCAUCCUGUUUUUCAGCCCAGGAACAACAACUGAAAAUGCAAACAACGAAUUUUAGUAAACAGGCUGGAUAGCUUAGUCCAAGGCGUUGUGCCAACUGGAAUUUUCUGUAAUAAGGCCACGUUGGAUGAGAGGGAUCAUCUGCCAGCAGCUGCAUGGAAGGUCCGUUCAGAUGAAAGAGUUUGACUUGCACACAGCCAGCUGAGAAUUGACCCAGGAGUUCUUCUGUAGUAGUUCUAUACUGAACAGAACUGGUGGGAGGCAAGACGUUUGGCCAUGUCUUGUGAAAGCAGGGAAGAUUCAGAUAAGGUGGACGUAGGCCAUAUUUUACUCAUCAGUAGCUUAAAUCACUGUGUGCAUGUGAGCCACAGAGGAAGCUGAACAUUCAAGUGACGUUUUAGCAAGCAUCCGUAGUAAGAAUGAAUGCAAGUGGUGUCUCUUAUGCGGGAGAGUACAAAAAACAAACCCCAAAGCAUUCAGCUUAAACAUGUUGGAAGCGGAUUGUAAGAAUCUGCAAAGGGUGAGAAUCACUUGCCUUCUAAUAGGCAAAAUACGAUGGUACAUCCCCAUUUGUUCCGUUCACACCCUGGCUUAAAUUUUGGCUACACAACCCUCUUGAAAAUAAUAAUACAGUGUUAGUCUUCUCACUCCUUUAAAUCUGUAUUUGAAUCCUGCGUCUUUGUCAUCGGUUACAGAAUCUUUUUACACGUUUGACUUUUUGAAAGCUAAAUUUUCUCCCUUGGUUUGUGGUUGGGUGUACAGGCAACAGAGGGCAGCCGUGUCAGGCAAGGAUCGAUUUGAUACAAGUGGCAUUCAAAACAUGAAGCGCAUCUAGCUGGAAUGGCAGUGAUGGUAAACUAAGUAGUAGUUAUGGGGAGAGUGUCAGAGAGAAGGUAAGAUUCCUGUCACUGGUCCCUGUCUACAAUAUAUAGCAUUCCCCCCGCCCCCCAAAAAAGGCAUGUGCUAUUUGAUGGAAUGACUGGUUUACACAAUUUUCAGGGAAACUGGCAUCUUUUGGGCAUUUUGUUGCCUACAUACAAGAUAACAACCAUUUGGUGCAGGUGUCUGAUUUAAACUUUACGCAACUAUCAGAUAUCCUGAAGCGGGGGAGGGACGGAGGGACCCACUUAUUCCUUCAAAAUACCCUUAUACCGAAUAUAAUAAGCUGGCCUAGCCUUAUCUGCCUCCCAAGGGUGGUGCAAUGGGCAAACAGAGCAGGUCAUGGAACAAUACCUUCCGCUUCUUUUAUUCUGUAAUCGCAAAGGGAAUACAGAAUUAAUUUCCUGGCUGUGCCUAUAGAAAUGGAACUCUCUCAACCAGGAUUUAGCUGUCUGGAAAUCUAAACAGUUGCCCUGUGCUAGAGUGGCAGAAUCAAAGAGUGCCUAAUAUGUAGGGUGGAGUAUUUGAGGUUGUGUGUGCAUUUUUAGUUGGUGGUAUGAGUACCGCGCUCACCCACUGAACACCGGCAGCACCCAUUUUAGAUAUAAAAUCCUACUUGCACCUGUGGAUGCCGUUACCCAGAUCAGGGUCUGCUGUCUGCUUCCAAAAAGCAGAAACUUGGAUUGCUUGAGUCUAGCCCUAGCACCACUGCUUUAAAAUAGCGGUGCCUGAGUAGUAAAAGAGUUCUGUAGGACUCGAAAGCUCACUUCUAGCCUUUCAAAUGCCUGCCCUGGUCCAGCAAUAGGAAUCCUAAGUCACGGCUUCCUUAAAUCUGACACUCUCCCUUUUAAUCAGGGUGAUUCCGUGCACUGCAUGUACAUGACGGAAGAGGGAAAAGACCCCCCCCCAGACCAGCCUGUGCCUUGGCUUAGUUCAGGUUGGGUGCCACUCCCCCACCUCCCCAAGCCUCUCAGCCAGCGUUAUCAAGCAGCACCCCAAAGUGCCUGUUUGAGCUGCAUGUCAUGCCAGCCUAAAGGGCAUGAUGACCAUAUAUACAUAUAAUAUGAAUGAAUAUAACCAAUUCAUGUUUGUUUAUCUACCUCUUAGCACCAAUAGAUUAAAAAAAAUAAAAAUAAAAGUAAAUAGGGUAGUGGAUAAUACAACAUGCUGUGUAGUGUAGGGAGAAAAAUACUUCUGUUUUUUUUCCAAAGAAAUAAUUGUUCUGCUUAAUAAAUAAAUAAAUGAACUAGAAAUGACGGGCGCUCUCUGCAUUUUAAAUCAGACUUGGGGGAAUUUGUAGAGGGCUGUGGAAUGAUGGGCUAGAGGCAAGGUGUGUUUGCAGGUAAAAGAUGCGUGGUGCGGCCAACAUGUUUCCGCAACGGGCGCAUCGCAGAGCAAGCCGCAGUCUUGAUUCCUGCUACGGAAUCACUGGGACAAGUCGCUGGCCCAGAUCCAAAGAACAACGGGAGCAGGGUGUGGGGCGUGUUCAAGCUGUGUGUGUGUGCACGCCCAGGAACAUCAGGAGUGAGCAGGGUAGGCGCAUACAGGAAACCACCAAGUCUGUGGCUUCUACAGGUUAGAUUGCGUUUAUUGCUGGGACAGAGAAUCGCGGCUGCUCGGGCAUCCGUCUGUAAAAUGGCGGCAAAAUAAUCCCUUGCCGCUUUGCUGUGAGGGAGGGUAAAGGCAACAGAGACUGGGAAGCAGUUUCUCUAUUGAGGAACUAAUUCACAGCAACAAGCUAUUUUGACAACAAUGCUCUCUGGGCAGCCACUGGUGUUCCAGCAAGGCUGCAUUGCCCAACUCCCCUCUACAAGUCAAUUAACCCUGGUUUUUAAAGUGUGUGUUAGUUUGUAAGAGCCCCGCAACCUCAACUGUUUCGUCCCCCCUUUUAUGACUUUGUUUUAAAUGCACCACCUGAUUACUCAUUUCUCCUCUUUCCUAACAAAACCCCAUCAUAAGUCCCCACUCCCAUUUUCUUUCCACGGUCUUGGCGUAAGCACUGACAAGAGUUGAGACAGCUAUCCAGCAGUGAUUGAUUGAAUUGUGCCUUAGAUCCACAAGUGCAUAGUCUUUUGCAAAUCUUUUCCUCGUUUGAGGGUACUGAACACACACACACACCAACAACAACAACCUCACUAGAUCUGUGUCAACGGAAGGACUCGUAAGAAUUGUUUUGUUGGAUGAGAGUCCUUAAGUCCAGCUUUAGGCUAGCAGUCUUGAUUCCAACAGUAACAACUUAGAUGGCUCUGGGAAGAUCGGAGCGAGAAAUGACAGUCAUUUUCUAGCCACCUGUUUUGCCACCAGCAUCAGAAAUACUGCUUCUGAACAUGGAAGGGUUAGUUUAGUUAACCUGGUGAAUGUCUCUAAUCUUUCUCUGAAGCCAUCUCAGGUGUGAAAAAAAGCAACAGCAAGAAGUUUACAUCUUUCAGUUACUUUGCUGGAGACCUUGUAUUAAAGCUAUUUUACUACUUGGGUGUUGGUCCCAAUUCCUUCAGAGCAAUCGGUUGUUAAAACGAUUUUAUGACAAGUCACAUGUAUAUGCAACAAGGUUAUGUGAAUUUGGGGGGGGUCUGUUUACCGUACAAUAUUAUAAGGACAUGUAUAAAAACAACAACAGCGUCCACUGUUUUCUCUUUUUUAUUCUAAGCCAUUGAAAUCAUCACAAAUUCAGACUAAAUCUGAAAGGCUGUGCUCUUAACAAUUGUUUUCCUCCCUUUCGGUCAACUGUAUUGAAAAAAAAAGUUGUUUUGUU